CGUAUGGAGCAAGCGUUAUCCGGAUUACUGGUGUAAGGAGCGUAGGCGGUGCUAUAAGUCUGAUGUGAAGCCCGGGCGUCAACCGCGGGACUGCAUUGGAACUGUAGGACUGGAGUGUCGGAGGGUAAGUGGAAUUCCUAGUGUAGCGGUGAAAUGCGUAGAUAUUAGGAGGAACACCGGUGGCGAAGGCGGCUUACUGGACGACAACUGACGCUGAGGCUCGAAAGCGUGGGAGCAAACAGGAUU
rnacentral:rRNA from 1 species